UAUCAUUCUGGAGAGGGUUUACUGGCUCAUUUUGCUGUUGACUUUCAUUGCAAGAGAUGCCAGUUAUGACUGGGCAGUAUUGUAAAUCCUACUGUGUAAUAGAUUAGGUGCAAUAACUUUUUGUAUUAAUCAGGCAAAUAACUAGCUUGUUGCAAAUAUUGACUUGUUUUUCCUAUUAUCAUUUACACAGAAGGACCUGACUCCGCUGAACUUGAGGUUGAUGUUGAAAUGUCCGGAAAGCAACACCCGACAGUUCAAAGAUAAGAGGUCUUACCACUGUCUUCACUAUGAGAAGAGUUUCCCAUUCCCAUCAUAUCUUAAAAGACACCUGCAGAAACAUACAGAAGAGAAGCCUUAC
rnacentral:lncRNA from 1 species